AUGGAUUCAUCAUUCAAUGAUUUAUAUAGGCCGUGGUUCAAGCAUGGGCGGCCGUACCUUAUGCAGAUGACUGGUGAAGAAGUGGUGGAAGAAUUCCGCAUAGAAAAUCAUCUUGCUCAGCAAGGACUGGAAUCAAUCCUGCGUUUGGGGCUCUGCCCCAGGGGAUCAGGGAGACUCAUCAUUGGACCUGACUGGGCGUUCAAAGUUGCAUACACAGACUCAUACUGGCUGAGGGAAGAUGUCCGCUCAAUGUUUAAUCAGCUACCGCUUGGUGUGCCAUUAGUUCUGGGGCUGGUUGUGGUGUACCUGGACCAGGGGUGGAGUUUGUACGUCUUUGACAUCCUGUGUAGAGUUCUCCAUAUCAUUGAUCCGAACAUCUCCAAGCCUGGGAAAAGCAGGAUGAAAGCAAAACACUUGCAGAAUGUGGGUGAGCUACUUGAUGCAUUCGUGAAGUGUGGUGACAUUUUCUGGGGGCAAGGGAAGGUGCCACAUAAUGGGUGGUCUUAUUGUUUCCAUGCUACAGGUGCCUAUGAGAGCACGGACACGGCGAUGCAGGUAGUCCACCACAUCAUCAACUUUGUGCCUGGGUAA
rnacentral:rRNA from 1 species